rnacentral:lncRNA from 1 species
AUGAAAGUACCUAGAGAGAAUCACUGCUCUCCAGGCUCAUCGCACCCACCUGGUGAAAGGCAGCUCAGUACCAGCUAUGAUUCCUUACAAAAUCCCGCUGAGUUUUAUGAUCAUUACUAUUCACAGCAUGCUGUCCAUAAUUUUCAGCCACCCAGUCACUCUGGUGACGGGGUGUGGCAUGGUGACUUUGCCCAGCACCAGGCUCCAGUUGUUCCAGACUCACCUAACCGUGGGAGUGGGUCCGACAGCAGCAGUAAUGUGGCAGGCCAGGGCCCCCUGCCUGCACUGGGUCUCCUCCCUGCUGUCCAGAGAGCUCUUUUUGUCAGACUUACUCAGAAAUACCAAGAAGAUGAAGAACCAAGCAGCACCCAGCCUCAGAGGACACCAAGCAAGGAAGAAGGUGUGUCAGGUGUCAUGAUAGCGUCAUAUCUGUUUGGAUCUACCUAUUCUAUUUCCAGCUACCUUACAGCUACUAUCUUCUUGGGUUUGAUUGUCAUUUCCAGUGCCAUUGAUGCAUUAGUAAUUAAUUGCAGUGGGUUUGAUUUGAAGCAAUAAAUCAGACUGGAGUGUGAGGCCUUGGAAGCACACUUGUUGUUAAGCUUUGUUUUUGAAGAGAAAUAGAACAGAAACAAGAUAGCCUUGAGUUUAAGAAUUUUAACUUGUAACUCAAGUUCAAAAUUAUUUGGUUAUUAGAUUUUUAUGGGCAGAGGCUGUUUCCUUCAGGUUCUGCUAUACUAUUAAAGGAUAUUAUUUUUAAUAUAAAAGAUUAUAUUUUAAGUUUCCCUUAGUAUUUUUGAUACUGAUAAGUCUACAGCAAUUAGUUAAUUCAGUUAAGGGAAGAAAACUGGAAAUCAACCAGUUUAUUAUGAGUUAAAAAAUUGAUAUGUUUGGCCAACCUUAAACAUGAAAUUAAGGGCUUCCCUCGUUCCAGUGGUUAAGAAUCCAUCCUUCCGCUGCAGGAGUCAGGGAAGUUCACAUGCUGUGAGGCAUGGCGAAAAGCGAAACAUGAAAUUAUGAAUAACUAUGUAAAACUGGAUAAUGCUAGUAGCCACAAGUUAUAUCAACAUUUGUUACAUUUGCAAAGAUAGUAUUAACCUUCAUUUAUUUAACAUGACAGGGAAGUGAGGAAUUUCUAAUAAGUUAAUUUCCUAUAUAAUUUAUAUUUACUCCUUUAGGU